rnacentral:snRNA from 1 species
AGUAAUUUGGAUUCUCCA